CCGUGGCAAGGACCAGAAUGGAUCACAGAUGAUCGUUGGCCAACAGGUGGCAGAAGAGGAAUUCCUGCCUUCCUCAAGAGGAACACCUACCCCUUGGCUAAUGCUGGGGUCGGAUUUUGAUUUAUAUUUAUCUUUUGGAUGUCAGUCAUACAGUCUGAUUUUGUGGUUUGCUAGUGUUUGAAUUUAAGUCUUAAGUGACUAUUAUAGAAAUGUAUUAAGAGGCUUUAUUUGUAGAAUUCACUUUAAUUACAUUUAAUGAGUUUUUGUUUUGAGUUCCUUAAAAUUCCUUAAAGUUUUUAGCUUCUCAUUACAAAUUCCUUAACCUUUUUUUGGCAGUAGAUAGUCAAAGUCAAAUCAUUUCUAAUGUUUUAAAAAUGUGCUGGUCAUUUUCUUUGAAAUUGACUUAACUAUUUUCCUUUGAAGAGUCUGUAGCACAGAAACAGUAAAAAAUUUAACUUCAUGACCUAAUGUAAAAAAGAGUGUUUGAAGGUUUACACAGGUCCAGGCCUUGCUUUGUUCCCAUCCUUGAUGCUGCACUAAUUGACUAAUCACCUACUUAUCAGACAGGAAACUUGAAUUGCUGUGGUCUGGUGUCCUCUAUUCAGACUUAUUAUAUUGGAGUAUUUCAAUUUUUCGUUGUAUCCUGCCUGCCUAGCAUCCAGUUCCUCCCCAGCCCUGCUCCCAGCAAACCCCUAGUCUAGCCCCAGCCCUACUCCCACCCCGCCCCAGCCCUGCCCCAGCCCCAGUCCCCUAACCCCCCAGCCCUAGCCCCAGUCCCAGUCCUAGUUCCUCAGUCCCGCCCAGCUUCUCUCGAAAGUCACUCUAAUUUUCAUUGAUUCAGUGCUCAAAAUAAGUUGUCCAUUGCUUAUCCUAUUAUACUGGGAUAUUCCGUUUACCCUUGGCAUUGCUGAUCUUCAGUACUGACUCCUUGACCAUUUUCAGUUAAUGCAUACAAUCCCAUUUGUCUGUGAUCUCAGGACAAAGAAUUUCCUUACUCGGUACGUUGAAGUUAGGGAAUGUCAAUUGAGAGCUUUCUAUCAGAGCAUUAUUGCCCACAAUUUGAGUUACUUAUCAUUUUCUCGAUCCCCUGCCCUUAAAGGAGAAACCAUUUCUCUGUCAUUGCUUCUGUAGUCACAGUCCCAAUUUUGAGUAGUGAUCUUUUCUUGUGUACUGUGUUGGCCACCUAAAACUCUUUGCAUUGAGUAAAAUUCUAAUUGCCAAUAAUCCUACCCAUUGGAUUAGACAGCACUCUGAACCCCAUUUGCAUUCAGCAGGGGGUCGCAGACAACCCGUCUUUUGUUGGACAGUUAAAAUGCUCAGUCCCAAUUGUCAUAGCUUUGCCUAUUAAACAAAGGCACCCUACUGCGCUUUUUGCUGUGCUUCUGGAGAAUCCUGCUGUUCUUGGACAAUUAAAGAACAAAGUAGUAAUUGCUAAUUGUCUCACCCAUUAAUCAUGAAGACUACCAGUCGCCCUUGCAUUUGCCUUGAGGCAGCGCUGACUACCUGAGAUUUAAGAGUUUCUUAAAUUAUUGAGUAAAAUCCCAAUUAUCCAUAGUUCUGUUAGUUACACUAUGGCCUUUGCAAACAUCUUUGCAUAACAGCAGUGGGACUGACUCAUUCUUAGAGCCCCUUCCCUUGGAAUAUUAAUGGAUACAAUAGUAAUUAUUCAUGGUUCUGCGUAACAGAGAAGACCCACUUAUGUGUAUGCCUUUAUCAUUGCUCCUAGAUAGUGUGAACUACCUACCACCUUGCAUUAAUAUGUAAAACACUAAUUGCCCAUAGUCCCACUCAUUAGUCUAGGAUGUCCUCUUUGCCAUUGCUGCUGAGUUCUGACUACCCAAGUUUCCUUCUCUUAAACAGUUGAUAUGCAUAAUUGCAUAUAUUCAUGGUUCUGUGCAAUAAAAAUGGAUUCUCACCCCAUCCCACCUUCUGUGGGAUGUUGCUAACGAGUGCAGAUUAUUCAAUAACAGCUCUUGAACAGUUAAUUUGCACAGUUGCAAUUGUCCAGAGUCCUGUCCAUUAGAAAGGGACUCUGUAUCCUAUUUGCACGCUACAAUGUGGGCUGAUCACCCAAGGACUCUUCUUGUGCAUUGAUGUUCAUAAUUGUAUUUGUCCACGAUCUUGUGCACUAACCCUUCCACUCCCUUUGUAUUCCAGCAGGGGACCCUUACUACUCAAGACCUCUGUACUAGGACAGUUUAUGUGCACAAUCCUAAUUGAUUAGAACUGAGUCUUUUAUAUCAAGGUCCCUGCAUCAUCUUUGCUUUACAUCAAGAGGGUGCUGGUUACCUAAUGCCCCUCCUCCAGAAAUUAUUGAUGUGCAAAAUGCAAUUUCCCUAUCUGCUGUUAGUCUGGGGUCUCAUCCCCUCAUAUUCCUUUUGUCUUACAGCAGGGGGUACUUGGGACUGUUAAUGCGCAUAAUUGCAAUUAUGGUCUUUUCCAUUAAAUUAAGAUCCCAACUGCUCACACCCUCUUAGCAUUACAGUAGAGGGUGCUAAUCACAAGGACAUUUCUUUUGUACUGUUAAUGUGCUACUUGCAUUUGUCCCUCUUCCUGUGCACUAAAGACCCCACUCACUUCCCUAGUGUUCAGCAGUGGAUGACCUCUAGUCAAGACCUUUGCACUAGGAUAGUUAAUGUGAACCAUGGCAACUGAUCACAACAAUGUCUUUCAGAUCAGAUCCAUUUUAUCCUCCUUGUUUUACAGCAAGGGAUAUUAAUUACCUAUGUUACCUUUCCCUGGGACUAUGAAUGUGCAAAAUUCCAAUGUUCAUGGUCUCUCCCUUUAAACCUAUAUUCUACCCCUUUUACAUUAUAGAAAGGGAUGCUGGAAACCCAGAGUCCUUCUCUUGGGACUCUUAAUGUGUAUUUCUAAUUAUCCAUGACUCUUAAUGUGCAUAUUUUCAAUUGCCUAAUUGAUUUCAAUUGUCUAAGACAUUUCAAAUGUCUAAUUGAUUAGAACUGAGUCUUUUAUAUCAAGCUAAUAUCUAGCUUUUAUAUCAAGCUAAUAUCUUGACUUCUCAGCAUCAUAGAAGGGGGUACUGAUUUCCUAAAGUCUUUCUUGAAUUUCUAUUAUGCAAAAUUGCCCUGAGGCCGGGUGUGGUGGCUCACACCUGUAAUCCCAGCACUUUGGGAGGCUGAGGUGGGAAGAUCCCUUACUGCCAGGAGUUUGAGACCAGCCUGGCCAACAUUAAAAAAAAAAAAAAGUAAGACAAUUGCCCUGGAAUCCCAUCCCCCUCACACCUCCUUGGCAAAGCAGCAGGAGUGCUAACUAGCUAGUGCUUCUUCUCUUAUACUGCUUAAAUGCGCAUAAUUAGCAGUAGUUGAUGUGCCCCUAUGUUAGAGUAGAAUCCCGCUUCCUUGCUCCAUUUGCAUUACUGCAGGAGCUUCUAACUAGCCUGAAUUCACUCUCUUGGACUGUUAAUGUGCAUACUUAUAUUUGCUGCUGUACUUUUUUACCAUGUAAGGACCCCACCCACUGUAUUUACAUCCCAGCUGGAAGUACCUACUACUUAAGACCCUUAGACUAGUAAAGUUAGCGUGCAUAAUCUUAGGUGUUAUAUACACAUUUUCAGUUGCAUACAGUUGUGCCUUUUAUCAGGACUCCUGUACUUAUCAAAGCAGAGAGUGCUAAUCAAUAUUAAGCCCUUCUCUUCGAACUGUAGAUGGCAUGUAAUUGCAGUUGUCAAUGGUCCUUCAAUUAGACUUGGGUUUCUGACCUAUCACACCCUCUUUGCUUUAUUGCAUGGGGUACUAUUCACUUAAGGCCCCUUUCUCAAACUGUUAAUGUGCCUAAUGACAAUUACAUCAGUAUCCUUCCUUUUGAAGGACAGCAUGGUUGGUGACACCUAAGGCCCCAUUUCUUGGCCUCCCAAUAUGUGUGAUUGUAUUUGUCGAGGUUGCUAUGCACUAGAGAAGGAAAGUGCUCCCCUCAUCCCCACUUUUCCCUUCCAGCAGGAAGUGCCCACCCCAUAAGACCCUUUUAUUUGGAGAGUCUAGGUGCACAAUUGUAAGUGACCACAAGCAUGCAUCUUGGACAUUUAUGUGCGUAAUCGCACACUGCUCAUUCCAUGUGAAUAAGGUCCUACUCUCCGACCCCUUUUGCAAUACAGAAGGGUUGCUGAUAACGCAGUCCCCUUUUCUUGGCAUGUUGUGUGUGAUUAUAAUCGUCUGGGAUCCUAUGCACUAGAAAAGGAGGGUCCUCUCCACAUACCUCAGUCUCACCUUUCCCUUCCAGCAGGGAGUGCCCACUCCAUAAGACUCUCACAUUUGGACAGUCAAGGUGCGUAAUUGUUAAGUGAACACAACCAUGCACCUUAGACAUGGAUUUGCAUAACUACACACAGCUCAACCUAUCUGAAUAAAAUCCUACUCUCAGACCCCUUUUGCAGUACAGCAGGGGUGCUGAUCACCAAGGCCCUUUUUCCUGGCCUGGUAUGCGUGUGAUUAUGUUUGUCCCGGUUCCUGUGUAUUAGACAUGGAAGCCUCCCCUGCCACACUCCACCCCCAAUCUUCCUUUCCCUUCCGGCAGGGAGUGCCCUCUCCAUAAGACGCUUACGUUUGGACAAUCAAGGUGCACAGUUGUAAGUGACCACAGGCAUACACCUUGGACAUUAAUGUGCAUAACCACUUUGCCCAUUCCAUCUGAAUAAGGUCCUACUCUCAGACCCCUUUUGCAGUACAGCAGGGGUGCUGAUCACCAAGGCCCCUUUUCUUGGCCUGUUAUGUGCGUGAUUAUAUUUGUCUGGGUUCCUGUGUAUUAGACAAGGAAGCCUUCCCCCCGCCCCCACCCCCACUCCCAGUCUUCCUUUCCCUUCCAGCAGGGAGUGCCCCCUCCAUAAGAUCAUUACAUUUGGACAAUCAAGGUGCACAAUUAUAAGUGACCACAGCCAUGCACCUUGGACAUUAUUGGACAUUAAUGUGCGUAACUGCACAUGGCCCAUCCCAUCUGAAUAAGGUCCUACUCUCAGAUGCCCUUUGCAGUACAGCAGGGGUACUGAAUCACCAAGGCCCUUUUUCUUGGCCUGUUAUGUGUGUGAUUAUAUUUAUCCCAGUUUCUGUGUAAUAGACAUGAAAGCCUCCCCUGCCACACCCCACCUCCAAUCUUCCUUUCCCUUCCACCAGGGAGUGUCCACUCCAUAUACCCUUACAUUUGGACAAUCAAGGUGCACAAUUGUAAGUGAGCAUAGGCACUCACCUUGGACAUGAAUGUGCAUAACUGCACAUGGCCCAUCCCAUCUGAAUAAGGUCCUACUCUCAGACCCUUUUUGCAGUACAGCAGGGGUGCUGAUCACCAAGGCCCCUUUUCCUGGCCUGUUAUGUGUGUGAUUAUAUUUGUUCCAGUUCCUGUGUAAUAGACAUGGAAGCCUCCCCUGCCACACUCCACCCCCAAUCUUCCUUUCCCUUCUGGCAGGAAGUACCCGCUCCAUAAGACCCUUACAUUUGGACAGUCAAGGUGCACAAUUGUAUGUGACCACAACCAUGCACCUUGGACAUAAAUGUGUGUAACUGCACAUGGCCCAUCCCAUCUGAAUAAGGUCCUACUCUCAGACCCCUUUUGCAGUACAGUAGGUGUGCUGAUAACCAAGGCCCCUCUUCCUGGCCUGUUAACGUAUGUGAUUAUAUUUGUCUGGGUUCCAGUGUAUAAGACAUGGAAGCCUCCCCUGCCCCACCCCACCCUCAAUCUUCCUUUCCCUUCUGGCAGGGAGUGCCAGCUCCAUAAGAACCUUACAUUUGGACAGUCAAGGUGCACAAUUCUAAGUGACCGCAGCCAUGCACCUUGGUCAAUAAUGUGUGUAACUGCACACGGCCUAUCUCAUCUGAAUAAGGCCUUACUCUCAGACCCCUUUUGCAGUACAGCAGGGGUGCUGAUAACCAAGGCCCAUUUUCCUGGCCUGUUAUGUGUGUGAUUAUAUUUGUCCAGGUUUCUGUGUACUAGACAAGGAAGCCUCCUCUGCCCCAUCCCAUCUACGCAUAAUCUUUCUUUUCCUCCCAGCAGGGAGUGCUCACUCCAUAAGACCCUUACAUUUGGACAAUCAAGGUGCACAAUUGUAAGUGACCACAACCAUGCAUCUUGGAAAUUUAUGUGCAUAACUGCACAUGGCUUAUCCUAUUUGAAUAAAGUCCUACUCUCAGACCCCCUUUGCAGUAUAGCUGGGGUGCUGAUCACUGAGGCCUCUUUGCUUGGCUUGUCUAUAUUCUUGUGUACUAGAUAAGGGCACCUUCUCAUGGACUCCCUUUGCUUUUCAACAAGGAGUACCCACUACUUUUUAAGAUUCUUAUAUUUGUCCAAAGUACAUGGUUUUAAUUGACCACAACAAUGUCCCUUGGACAUUAAUGUAUGUAAUCACCACAUGGUUCAUCCUAAUUAAACAAAGUUCUACCUUCUCACCCUCCAUUUGCAGUAUACCAGGGUUGCUGACCCCCUAAGUCCCCUUUUCUUGGCUUGUUGACAUGCAUAAUUGCAUUUAUGUUGGUUCUUGUGCCCUAGACAAGGAUGCCCCACCUCUUUUCAAUAGUGGGUGCCCACUCCUUAUGAUCUUUACAUUUGAACAGUUAAUGUGAAUAAUUGCAGUUGUCCACAACCCUAUCACUUCUAGGACCAUUAUACCUCUUUUGCAUUACUGUGGGGUAUACUGUUUCCCUCCAAGGCCCCUUCUGGUGGACUAUCAACAUAUAAUUGAAAUUUUCUUUUGUCUUUGUCAGUAGAUUAAGGUCAUACCCCAUCACCUUUCCUUUGUAGUACAACAGGGUGUCCUGAUCAACCAAAGUCCUGUUGUUUUGGACUGUUAAUAUGUGCAAUUACAUUUGCUCCUGAUCUGUGCACUAGAUAAGGAUCCUACCUACUUUCUUAGUGUUUUUAGCAGGUAGUGCCCACUACUCAAGACUGUCACUUGGAAUGUUCAUGUGCACAAACUCAAUUCUCUAAGCAUGUUCCUGUACCACCUUUGCUUUAGAGCAGGGGGAUGAUAUUCACUAAGUGCCCCUUCUUUUGGACUUAAUAUGCAUUAAUGCAAUUGUCCACCUCUUCUUUUAGACUAAGAGUUGAUCUCCACAUAUUCCCCUUGCAUCAGGGGCAUGUUAAUUAUGAAUGAACCCUUUUCUUUUAAUAUUAAUGUCAUAAUUGUAUUUGUGGACCUGUGUAGGAGAAAAAGACCCUAUGUUCCUCCCAUUACCCUUUGGAUUGCUGCUGAGAAGUGUUAACUACUCAUAAUCUCAGCUCUUGGACAAUUAAUAGCAUUAAUAACAAUUAUCAAGGGCACUGAUCAUUAGAUAAGACUCCUGCUUCCUCGUUGCUUACAUCGGGGGUACUGACCCACUAAGGCCCCUUGUACUGUUAAUGUGAAUAUUUGCAAUUAUAUAUGUCUCCUUCUGGUAGAGUGGGAUAUUAUGCCCUAGUAUCCCCUUUGCAUUACUGCAGGGGCUGCUGACUACUCAAAACUUCUCCUGGGACUGUUAAUAGGCACAAUGGCAGUUAUCAAUGGUUUUCUCCCUCCCUGACCUUGUUAAGCAAGCGCCCCACCCCACCCUUAGUUUCCCAUGGCAUAAUAAAGUAUAAGCAUUGGAGUAUUCCAUGCACUUGUCUAUCAAACAGUGGUCCAUACUCCCAACCCUUUUGCAUUGCGCCAGUGUGUAAAAUCACAGGUAGCCAUGGUGUCAUGCUUUAUAUACGAAGUCUUCCCUCUCUCUGCCCCUUGUGUGCCCUUGGCCCCUUUUUACAGACUAUUGCUCACAAUCUCAGGUGUCCAUAUUUGCAGCUAUUAGGUAAGAUUGUGCUGUCUCCCUCUUCCCUUCCCUCUGCCCUGCCCCUUUUGCCUCUUUGCUGGGUAAUGUUGACCAGACAAGGCCCUUUCUCUUGGACUUAAACAAUUCUCAGUUGCACUUUCCUUGGUCCCACCCAUUAUACAUGAACCCCUCUACUUCCUUUCGCAUUGCUUCUGAGUAUGCUGACUACCCAAAGCCCCUUCUGUGUUAUUAAUAAACACAGUACUGAUUGUCCCAUUUUUCAGCCCAUCAGUCCAAGAUCUCCCUACCACUUUGGUGUGUUGGUGCAGUGUUGACUAUGAAAAGCAGGCCUGAACUAGGUGGAUAAGCCUUCACUCAUUUUCUUUCAUUUAUUAAUGAUCCUAGUUUCAAUUAUUGUCAGAUUCUGGGGACAAGAACCAUUCUUGCCCACCUGUGUUACUGCUUUACUGUGCAAAAUACUGAAGGCAAGUCAGACCCAGGGAGCUGGAUUGCCAUCCUUUAUUUUGUGUUUCCAGUGUACACUAUAAAAUUGUCUCCCCAGGAAGGAAGGUUGGCACUUUCUCUGCAUUCUUCUUUCCAGAGCAGAUUGCCUGGUUAAGAAUCUCUUGUUGUCCCCUUUGUAUAUUGUUAUUGUAAAGUGCCAAAUGCCAGGAUACAGCCAGAAAAAUUGCUUAUUAUUAUUAAAAAAAUUUUUUUAAGAAAGACAUCUGGAUUGUAGGGUGGACUCGAUAACCUGGUCAUUAUUUUUUUGAAGCCAAAAUAUCCAUUUAUACUAUGUACCUGGUGACCAGUGUCUCUCAUUUUAACUGAGGGUGGUGGGUCUGUGGAUAGAACACUGACUCUUGCUAUUUUAAUAUCAAAGAUAUUCUAGAGUGGAACUCUUAAGACCAGUAUCUUUGUGUGGGCUUUACCAGCAUUCACUUUUAGAAAAACUACCUAAAUUUUAUAAUCCUUUAAUUUCUUCAUCUGGAGCACCUGCCCCUACUUAUUUCAAGAAGAUUGCAGUAAAACGAUUAAAUGAGGGAACAUAUGCAGAGGUGCUUUUAAAAAGCAUAUGCCACCUUUUUUAUUAAUUAUUAUAUAAAAUGAAGCAUUUAAUUAUAGUAAUAAUUUGAAGUAGUUUGAAGUACCACACUGAGGUGAGGACUUAAAAAUGAUAAGACGAGUUCCCUAUUUUAUAAGAAAAAUAAGCCAAAAUUAAAUAUUCUUUUGGAUAUAAAUUUCAACAGUGAGAUAGCUGCCUAGUGGAAAUGAAUAAUAUCCCAGCCACUAGUGUACAGGGUGUUUUGUGGCACAGGAUUAUGUAAUAUGGAACUGCUCAAGCAAAUAACUAGUCAUCACAACAGCAGUUCUUUGUAAUAACUGAAAAAGAAUAUUGUUUCUCGGAGAAGGAUGUCAAAAGAUCGGCCCAGCUCAGGGAGCAGUUUGCCCUACUAGCUCCUCGGACAGCUGUAAAGAAGAGUCUCUGGCUCUUUAGAAUACUGAUCCCAUUGAAGAUACCACGCUGCAUGUGUCCUUAGUAGUCAUGUCUCCUUAGGCUCCUCUUGAUCUUCCUCAGAAGAAUAGGCUUGUUGUUUUACAGUGUUAGUGAUCCAUUCCCUUUGACGAUCCCUAGGUGGAGAUGGGGCAUGAGGAUCCUCCAGGGGAAAAGCUCACUACCACUGGGCAACAACCCUAGGUCAGGAGGUUCUGUCAAGAUACUUUCCUGGUCCCAGAUAGGAAGAUAAAGUCUCAAAAACAACCACCACACGUCAAGCUCUUCAUUGUUCCUAUCUGCCAAAUCAUUAUACUUCCUACAAGCAGUGCAGAGAGCUGAGUCUUCAGCAGGUCCAAGAAAUUUGAACACACUGAAGGAAGUCAGCCUUCCCACCUGAAGAUCAACAUGCCUGGCACUCUAGCACUUGAGGAUAGCUGAAUGAAUGUGUCUUACCCAUUUCCAUGUUUCUCUUGCUAAUUUCUUUCGUGUGUGCCUUUGCCUCAUUUUCUCUUUUUGUUCACAAGAGUGGUCUGUGUCUUGUCUUAGACAUAUCUCUCAUUUUUCAUUUUGUUGCUAUUUCUCUUUGCUCUCCUAGAUGUGGCUCUUCUUUCACGCUUUAUUUCAUGUCUCCUUUUUGGGUCACAUGCUGUGUGCUUUUUGUCCUUUUCUUGUUCUGUCUACCUCUCCUUUCUCUGCCUACCUCUCUUUUCUCUUUGUGAACUGUGAUUAUUUGUUACCCCUUCCCCUUCUCGUUCGUUUUAAAUUUCACCUUUUUUCUGAGUCUGGCCUCCUUUCUGCUGUUUCUACUUUUUAUCUCACAUUUCUCAUUUCUGCAUUUCCUUUCUGCCUCUCUUGGGCUAUUCUCUCUCUCCUCCCCUGCGUGCCUCAGCAUCUCUUGCUGUUUGUGAUUUUCUAUUUCAGUAUUAAUCUCUGUUGGCUUGUAUUUGUUCUCUGCUUCUUCCCUUUCUACUCACCUUUGAGUAUUUCAGCCUCUUCAUGAAUCUAUCUCCCUCUCUUUGAUUUCAUGUAAUCUCUCCUUAAAUAUUUCUUUGCAUAUGUGGGCAAGUGUACGUGUGUGUGUGUCAUGUGUGGCAGAGGGGCUUCCUAACCCCUGCCUGAUAGGUGCAGAACGUCGGCUAUCAGAGCAAGCAUUGUGGAGCGGUUCCUUAUGCCAGGCUGCCAUGUGAGAUGAUCCAAGACCAAAACAAGGCCCUAGACUGCAGUAAAACCCAGAACUCAAGUAGGGCAGAAGGUGGAAGGCUCAUAUGGAUAGAAGGCCCAAAGUAUAAGACAGAUGGUUUGAGACUUGAGACCCGAGGACUAAGAUGGAAAGCCCAUGUUCCAAGAUAGAUAGAAGCCUCAGGCCUGAAACCAACAAAAGCCUCAAGAGCCAAGAAAACAGAGGGUGGCCUGAAUUGGACCGAAGGCCUGAGUUGGAUGGAAGUCUCAAGGCUUGAGUUAGAAGUCUUAAGACCUGGGACAGGACACAUGGAAGGCCUAAGAACUGAGACUUGUGACACAAGGCCAACGACCUAAGAUUAGCCCAGGGUUGUAGCUGGAAGACCUACAACCCAAGGAUGGAAGGCCCCUGUCACAAAGCCUACCUAGAUGGAUAGAGGACCCAAGCGAAAAAGGUAUCUCAAGACUAACGGCCGGAAUCUGGAGGCCCAUGACCCAGAACCCAGGAAGGAUAGAAGCUUGAAGACCUGGGGAAAUCCCAAGAUGAGAACCCUAAACCCUACCUCUUUUCUAUUGUUUACACUUCUUACUCUUAGAUAUUUCCAGUUCUCCUGUUUAUCUUUAAGCCUGAUUCUUUUGAGAUGUACUUUUUGAUGUUGCCGGUUACCUUUAGAUUGACAGUAUUAUGCCUGGGCCAGUCUUGAGCCAGCUUUAAAUCACAGCUUUUACCUAUUUGUUAGGCUAUAGUGUUUUGUAAACUUCUGUUUCUAUUCACAUCUUCUCCACUUGAGAGAGACACCAAAAUCCAGUCAGUAUCUAAUCUGGCUUUUGUUAACUUCCCUCAGGAGCAGACAUUCAUAUAGGUGAUACUGUAUUUCAGUCCUUUCUUUUGACCCCAGAAGCCCUAGACUGAGAAGAUAAAAUGGUCAGGUUGUUGGGGAAAAAAAAGUGCCAGGCUCUCUAGAGAAAAAUGUGAAGAGAUGCUCCAGGCCAAUGAGAAGAAUUAGACAAGAAAUACACAGAUGUGCCAGACUUCUGAGAAGCACCUGCCAGCAACAGCUUCCUUCUUUGAGCUUAGGUGAGCAGGAUUCUGGGGUUUGGGAUUUCUAGUGAUGGUUAUGGAAAGGGUGACUGUGCCUGGGACAAAGCGAGGUCCCAAGGGGACAGCCUGAACUCCCUGCUCAUAGUAGUGGCCAAAUAAUUUGGUGGACUGUGCCAACGCUACUCCUGGGUUUAAUACCCAUCUCUAGGCUUAAAGAUGAGAGAACCUGGGACUGUUGAGCAUGUUUAAUACUUUCCUUGAUUUUUUUCUUCCUGUUUAUGUGGGAAGUUGAUUUAAAUGACUGAUAAUGUGUAUGAAAGCACUGUAAAACAUAAGAGAAAAACCAAUUAGUGUAUUGGCAAUCAUGCAGUUAACAUUUGAAAGUGCAGUGUAAAUUGUGAAGCAUUAUGUAAAUCAGGGGUCCACAGUUUUUCUGUAAGGGGUCAAAUCAUAAAUACUUUAGACUGUGGGCCAUAUGGUUUCUGUUACAUAUUUGUUUUUUAAACAACGUUUUUAUAAGGUCAAAAUCAUUCUUAGUUUUUGAGCCAAUUGGAUUUGGCCUGCUGUUCAUAGCUUACCACCCCCUGAUGUAUUAUUUGUUAUUCAGAGAAAAUUUCUGAAUACUACUAGUUUCCUUUUCUGUGCCUGUCCCUGUGCUAGGCACUAAAAAUGCAAUGAUUAUUGAUAUCUAGGUGACCUGAAAAAAAAUAGUGAAUGUGCUUUGUAAACUGUAAAGCACUUGUAUUCUACUGUGAUAAGCGUUGUGGAUACAAAGAAAGGAGCAAGCAUAAAAAAGUGCUCUUUCAAAAGGAUAUAGUACUAUGCAGACACAAGGAAUUGUUUGAUAAAUGAAUAAAUUAUAUGUAUAUUUGAGGCCAAUUUGUGUUUGCUGCUCUGGUAAUUUUGAGUAAAAAUGCAGUAUUCCAGGUAUCAGAAACGAAAACACAUGGAAACUGCUUUUAAACUUUAAAAUAUACUGAAAACAUAAGGGACUAAGCUUGUUGUGGUCACCUAUAAUGUGCCAGAUACCAUGCUGGGUGCUAGAGCUACCAAAGGGGGAAAAGUAUUCUCAUAGAACAAAAAAUUUCAGAAAGGUGCAUAUUAAAGUGCUUUGUAAACUAAAGCAUGAUACAAAUGUCAAUGGGCUACAUAUUUAUGAAUGAAUGAAUGGAUGAAUGAAUAUUAAGUGCCUCUUACAUACCAGCUAUUUUGGGUACUGUAAAAUACAAGAUUAAUUCUCCUAUGUAAUAAGAGGAAAGUUUAUCCUCUAUACUAUUCAGAUGUAAGGAAUGAUAUAUUGCUUAAUUUUAAACAAUCAAGACUUUACUGGUGAGGUUAAGUUAAAUUAUUACUGAUACAUUUUUCCAGGUAACCAGGAAAGAGCUAGUAUGAGGAAAUGAAGUAAUAGAUGUGAGAUCCAGACCGAAAGUCACUUAAUUCAGCUUGCGAAUGUGCUUUCUAAAUUAUAAAGCACUUGUAAAUGAAAAAUUUGAUGCUUUCUGUAUGAAUAAAACUUUCUGUAAGCUAGGUAUUGUCUCUACAAAAUUCUCAUUGUAUAGUUAAACCACAGUGAGAAGGGUUCUAUAAGUAGUUAUACAAACCAAGGGUUUAAAUACCUGUUAAAUAGAUCAAUUUUGAUUGCCUACUAUGUGAACUCACUGUUAAAGGCACUGAAAAUUUAUCAUAUUUCAUUUAGCCACAGCCAAAAAUAAGGCAAUACCUAUGUUAGCAUUUUGUGAACUCUAAGGCACCAUAUAAAUGUAACUGUUGAUUUUCUCACUUGGUGCUGGGUACUAGGUUUAUAAAAUUGUAUGAUAGUUAUUAUAUUGUGCAAAUAAAGUAGGAAAAUUUGAAUAACAAUGAUUAUCUUUUGAAUACGCAUACGCAAGGGAUUGGUUGUCUGAAGAAUGCCACUAUAGUAGUUAUCUAUUGUGUGCCAAUCUCAUUGCUAGGCAUUGGGGAUGCAAAGAUAAACCAUCUUUAUUGUGUCUUGGGUAGCAGAAGAAAAUAUGUGUAAAAUCAAUUUAUAAUUUGUAAACUGCCACCCAUAUAUAAGCUAUAUCUGCUGAAUGAUCAUUGAUUACUCUUAUCCUUAGAGAUAACAACUGGGGGCACAAACAUUUAUUAUCAUUAUUGAACCUACAACAGAGAUCUAUGUGUAGAUUUACAAAGCCUACAGUUCUAUACAGAUAGGAAUGAACUAUUGGCUUACUGAAUGGUGAUUACUUUCUGUGGGGCUCGGAACUACAUGCCCUAGGAUAUAAAAAUGAUGUUAUCAUUAUAGAGUGCUCACAGAAGGAAAUGAAGUAAUAUAGGUGUGAGAUCCAGACCAAAAGUCAUUUAACAAGUUUAUUCAGUGAUGAAAACAUGGGACAAAUGGACUAAUAUAAGGCAGUGUACUAAGCUGAGUAGAGAGAUAAAGUCCUGUCCAGAAGAUACAUGCUUCCUGGCCUGAUUGAGGAGAUGGAAAAUUUUUGCAAAAAACAAGGUGUUGUGGUCUUCCAUCCAGUUUCUUAAGUGCUGAUGAUAAAAGUGAAUUAGACCCACCUUGACCUGGCCUACAGAAGUAAAGGAGUAAAAAUAAAUGCCUCAGGCGUGCUUUUUGAUUCAUUUGAUAAACAAAGCAUCUUUUAUGUGGAAUAUACCAUUCUGGGUCCUGAGGAUAAGAGAGAUGAGGGCAUUAGAUCACUGACAGCUGAAGAUAGAAGAACAUCUUUGGUUUGAUUGUUUAAAUAAUAUUUCAAUGCCUAUUCUCUGCAAGGUACUAUGUUUCGUAAAUUAAAUAGGUCUGGCCCAGAAGACCCACUCAAUUGCCUUUGAGAUUAAAAAAAAAAAAAAAAAGAAAGAAAAAUGCAAGUUUCUUUCAAAAUAAAGAGACAUUUUUCCUAGUUUCAGGAAUCCCCCAAAUCACUUCCUCAUUGGCUUAGUUUAAAGCCAGGAGACUGAUAAAAGGGCUCAGGGUUUGUUCUUUAAUUCAUUAACUAAACAUUCUGCUUUUAUUACAGUUAAAUGGUUCAAGAUGUAACAACUAGUUUUAAAGGUAUUUGCUCAUUGGUCUGGCUUAGAGACAGGAAGACAUAUGAGCAAUAAAAAAAAGAUUCUUUUGCAUUUACCAAUUUAGUAAAAAUUUAUUAAAACUGAAUAAAGUGCUGUUCUUAAGUGCUUGAAAGACGUAAACCAAAGUGCACUUUAUCUCAUUUAUCUUAUGGUGGAAACACAGGAACAAAUUCUCUAAGAGACUGUGUUUCUUUAGUUGAGAAGAAACUUCAUUGAGUAGCUGUGAUAUGUUCGAUACUAAGGAAAAACUAAACAGAUCACCUUUGACAUGCGUUGUAGAGUGGGAAUAAGAGAGGGCUUUUUAUUUUUUCGUUCAUACGAGUAUUGAUGAAGAUGAUACUAAAUGCUAAAUGAAAUAUAUCUGCUCCAAAAGGCAUUUAUUCUGACUUGGAGAUGCAACAAAAACACAAAAAUGGAAUGAAGUGAUACUCUUCAUCAAACAGAAGUGACUGUUAUCUCAACCAUUUUGUUAAAUCCUAAACAGAAAACAAAAAAAAUCAUGACGAAAAGACACUUGCUUAUUAAUUGGCUUGGAAAGUAGAAUAUAGGAGAAAGGUUACUGUUUAUUUUUUUUCAUGUAUUCAUUCAUUCUACAAAUAUAUUCGGGUGCCAAUAGGUACUUGGUAUAAGGUUUUUGGCCCCAGAGACAUGGGAAAAAAAUGCAUGCCUUCCCAGAGAAUGCCUAAUACUUUCCUUUUGGCUUGUUUUCUUGUUAGGGGCAUGGCUUAGUCCCUAAAUAACAUUGUGUGGUUUAAUUCCUACUCCGUAUCUCUUCUACCACUCUGGCCACUACGAUAAGCAGGUAGCUGGGUUUUGUAGUGAGCUUGCUCCUUAAGUUACAGGAACUCUCCUUAUAAUAGACACUUCAUUUUCCUAGUCCAUCCCUCAUGAAAAAUGACUGACCACUGCUGGGCAGCAGGAGGGAUGAUGACCAACUAAUUCCCAAACCCCAGUCUCAUUGGUACCAGCCUUGGGGAACCACCUACACUUGAGCCACAAUUGGUUUUGAAGUGCAUUUACAAGGUUUGUCUAUUUUCAGUUCUUUACUUUUUACAUGCUGACACAUACAUACACUGCCUAAAUAGAUCUCUUUCAGAAACAAUCCUCAGAUAACGCAUAGCAAAAUGGAGAUGGAGACAUGAUUUCUCAUGCAACAGCUUCUCUAAUUAUACCUUAGAAAUGUUCUCCUUUUUAUCAUCAAAUCUGCUCAAGAAGGGCUUUUUAUAGUAGAAUAAUAUCAGUGGAUGAAAACAGCUUAACAUUUUACCAUGCUUAAGUUUUAAGAAUAAAAUAAAAAUUGGAAAUAAUUGGCCAAAAUUGAAAGGAAAAAUUUUUUUAAAAUUUCUCUAAAUGUAGGCCUGGCUGGGCUUUGACCUUUUCCGUUUUUAAAUCACUCACAGAGGGUGGGACAGGAGGAAGAGUGAAGGAAAAGGUCAAACCUGUUUUAAGGGCAACCUGCCUUUGUUCUGAAUUGGUCUUAAGAACAUUACCAGCUCCAGGUUUAAAUUGUUCAGUUUCAUGCAGUUCCAAUAGCUGAUCAUUGUUGAGAUGAGGACAAAAUCCUUUGUCCUCACUAGUUUGCUUUACAUUUUUGAAAAGUAUUAUUUUUGUCCAAGUGCUUAUCAACUAAACCUUGUGUUAGGUAAGAAUGGAAUUUAUUAAGUGAAUCAGUGUGACCCUUCUUGUCAUAAGAUUAUCUUAAAGCUGAAGCCAAAAUAUGCUUCAAAAGAAGAGGACUUUAUUGUUCAUUGUAGUUCAUACAUUCAAAGCAUCUGAACUGUAGUUUCUAUAGCAAGCCAAUUACAUCCAUAAGUGGAGAAGGAAAUAGAUAAAUGUCAAAGUAUGAUUGGUGGAGGGAGCAAGGUUGAAGAUAAUCUGGGGUUGAAAUUUUCUAGUUUUCAUUCUGUACAUUUUUAGUUAGACAUCAGAUUUGAAAUAUUAAUGUUUACCUUUCAAUGUGUGGUAUCAGCUGGACUCAGUAACACCCCUUUCUUCAGCUGGGGAUGGGGAAUGGAUUAUUGGAAAAUGGAAAGAAGAAAGUAACUAAAAGCCUUCCUUUCACAGUUUCUGGCAUCACUACCACUACUGAUUAAACAAGAAUAAGAGAACAUUUUAUCAUCAUCUGCUUUAUUCACAUAAAUGAAGUUGUGAUGAAUAAAUCUGCUUUUAUGCAGACACAAGGAAUUAAGUGGCUUCGUCAUUGUCCUUCUACCUCAAAGAUAAUUUAUUCCAAAAGCUAAGAUAAAUGGAAGACUCUUGAACUUGUGAACUGAUGUGAAAUGCAGAAUCUCUUUUGAGUCUUUGCUGUUUGGAAGAUUGAAAAAUAUUGUUCAGCAUGGGUGACCACCAGAAAGUAAUCUUAAGCCAUCUAGAUGUCACAAUUGAAACAAACUGGGGAGUUGGUUGCUAUUGUAAAAUAAAAU
rnacentral:lncRNA from 1 species